rnacentral:rRNA from 1 species
UGGGGGAUAUUGCACAAUGGGCGAAAGCCUGAUGCAGCGACGCCGCGUGGGGGAUGAAGGCCUUCGGGUUGUAAACUUCUUUUGCUCUGAACAAGGCGCACCAUGGGGUGUGUUGAGUGUAGGGGUUGGUUAGCGCCGGCUAACUACGUGCCAGCAGCCGCGGUAAUACGUAGGGCGCGAGCGUUGUCCGGAAUUAUUGGGCGUAAAGGGCUUGUAGGUGGCUGGUUGCGUCUGUCGUGAAAGCUCAUGGCUUAACUGUGGGUUUGCGGUGGGUACGGGCUGGCUUGAGUGCAGUAGGGGAGGCUGGAAUUCCUGGUGUAGCGGUGGAAUGCGCAGAUAUCAGGAGGAAUACCGGUGGCGAAGGCGGGUCUCUGGGCUGUUACUGACACUGAGGAGCGAAAGCAUGGGGAGCGAACAGG